rnacentral:tRNA from 1 species
AUUCCUGUAGCGCAAUGGAUAGCGCGUUGGAACUCUAAUCCAAAAGGUCGUGGGUUCGAAUUCCACCUGGGAUG